CUGCCCGGUGACCCUGGGUUAAACGGCCGCGGUAUUUUAACCGUGCGAAGGUAGCGCAAUCACUUGUCCUUUAAAUGAAGACCUGUAUGAAUGGCUAGACGAGGGCUUAGCUGUCUCCUCCCCCCGGUCAAUGAAAUUGAUCUCCCCGUGCAGAAGCGGGGAUACUAACAUAAGACGAGAAGACCCUAUGGAGCUUUAGACACUAGACAGCCCACGUUAAACUUCCCCUAUAAAGAGGAAAAAACAUUGUGAUUCCUGUCUCUCCUGUCUUCGGUUGGGGCGACCGCGGAGGAUAAAAAAGCCUCCAUGUGGACCGAGGUUACUAACCUCACAACUUAGAGCUGCAGCUCCAAGCAACAGAAAUUCUGACCAAAAUGAUCCGGCAUAGCGCCGAUUAACGGAACAAGUUACCCUAGGGAUAACAGCGCAAUCCUCUCCCAGAGUCCCUAUCGACGAGGGGGUUUACGACCUCGAUGUUGGAUCAGGACAUCCUAUUGGUGCAGCCGCUAAUAAGGGUUCGUUUGUUCAACGAUUAAAGUCCU
rnacentral:rRNA from 1 species